AAGUCGUAACAAGGUUUCCGUAGGUGAACCUGCGGAAGGAUCAUUAAUGUGUAGUGUGGGGGGUAUUCCGACGAUGUUGGAGGCCCCGCCAUUGACCCGAGCAGCGUGGAGAUUUUGUGGGCCAAAAGUGGUAUACUUUUUGCCCACAGGCGCAAGCGCCAAAGCGGCCGCAUUUUUGGUUAUAUAGCAAAAACAAUAAUACACUUAAAUAUUAAAACUUUCAACAAUGGAUCUCUUGGCUCCU
rnacentral:misc_RNA from 1 species